rnacentral:lncRNA from 1 species
GGCCAGAGCCGCGGCAGAGGCAGAGGAGGGAGCUAGGAGGUGAGACCCGCUCCACCCUGCUCGCCUAGGCUCGGCGGAGGCUAAGAGCAGGGCAGCCUCCUCUGCCCGGCGCCCGCUGAGCCCCGGCAUCUGGAACUCAGGGCCCUGGCGCUCCAGGGGCGGGAACUGGCCGGGAGGACCGCGCGGGAGAGCACGGAUGGGCACCCUGGGCUCGAUCUUCUCACCUGGGGCGGGUGGGUUCUGCACCACCCUCCCACCCUCCUUCCUCCGUGUGGACGAUAGAGCCACAUCCAGCACCACGGACAGCUCCCGGGCGCCUUCAUCUCCUCGUCCUCCAGGCAGCACAAGCCAUUGUGGAAUCUCCACCAGGUGUACAGAACGGUGCCUCUGCGUCCUGCCACUCAGGACCUCUCAAGUCCCCGAUGUGAUGGCUCCUCAGCAUGAUCAGGAGUGAGCGUAAUUCAGACCUAUUUAGAUCCGUCAGCCCACGGACCAGGGGGACCUUGAGCAGGACAGUCUUUUGUCUCCAAGCAGUCAUUCCCUGUUAUACAAGCAAGAGUCAGGAGGAGGAAUGGUUUUGGCAUCAUCCCCCACAGACAGCAAUGGGGCCUUUAGGCCUGGAAGGAAGGACCAGGCUGCGGCUGGCAUAUGGAGGUUGAGCCCUGGGCACGGGGCAUCAGCUUCACCCGGCUGGGGAUGCCUUCUGCUGGGUUUGUCCAUCUGGCACCAGCUGGCUUCCCAGCACCGCCCCCACAACCAACCAGACUCCUCCUUCUGCUGUUGCCAUGGCAAUUGGCUGCCAUAUUGUACCUCAGAGCACUAGCUCCUAUCUGGAUUUUCCCGCGGGGUUCCUAGAGGGUGGGAGAUGGGUCUCCAGGGAUUUAUCCCUUUCCCCUGAUAUCUAUCCAAUAAAAAUUCAUAAUAACAUAUGA